UACAGAGGUCUCAAGCGUUGUUCGGAUUCAUUGGGCGUAAAGGGUGCGUAGGCGGCGCGGUAAGUCGGGUGUGAAAUCUCGGGGCUUAACUCCGAAACUGCAUUCGAUACUGCCGUGCUUGAGGACUGGAGAGGAGACUGGAAUUUACGGUGUAGCAGUGAAAUGCGUAGAUAUCGAAAGGAACACCAGUGGCGAAGGCGAGUCUCUGGACGAUUCCUGACGCUGAGGCACGAAAGCGUGGGGAGCAAACAGG
rnacentral:rRNA from 1 species